rnacentral:piRNA from 1 species
UUUGCAUGUGUCUUUUGCAUGGGCA